ACAGCAUAUGAUGGGCUAUGAGUCAUUUUAUUUUUCCCGCUUCUGGAUUUGUGCAGGGAACACUGUAUAUUGACUUGAUGGUGAUUUGAAAUUUUUUUGAAAAAGUUACGUUUAUCUGUUUAUCUGCUACCUUCCUCCCAUAAUCUUCAUUGCAUGGAGAGCAAAGAUGAGAGCAAAGACCGAUAUGUUUGUUCUAAUCUUUUUUACUAGAAAAAGUGUUUAUGAGUAAUAUUCCUUGAUUGCGAUAAUAUUCUUUGUUCUGGACUUGUAUUUUCAUUAGCUUUAAGCUUAAUAUCUUUGUGGCAACAUUUGUUUUACCUUCCAGUAGCAGCAUUUUUUAUUUGUGUUGCUUUGUGUUAUUGUGUUAUUUUGAAGAGAAGUGUGUUAUUCCUGAUGGACGUUUUUAAAAUUUAUUCCAUGAAGCUUUUAAAAGUUGUUGAAGAGAAGAUCGAAGGUUGUUUUCGAAGAUCAAGACGAAGAUCUCAAGCAAAAAAACGAAAAAGGUUUCAUUUUAUUAUUUCUCCAUUUUUUUAGUUUGAUUUUAAUCAUUUUUGUUCUGUGAGCUAACCCGUUCCAAUGUUGCUAGGAUUGUGUGUCUUCUUGGAAUCUGAUGGUGGUUUUUUUCUUUAGGGUUUUUCAUUUUCUUCUUCCUUUUUGAUUACUUCUGUUCAAAGCUUUUAGGAUUUGUGUUGGAGAGAAGAUCGAAGGUUUUUGAAGAUCAAUACAAAGUUCUCAAGAAAAAGACGAAAAGGGUUUAAUUUUUAUCAUUUUCCCAUAAUAACUUUUGAGUUUGAUUUUAAUUAUUUUGUUCUGUAAGCCAACCCGUUCUGAUGUUGCUAGGUUUGUGUGUUCUUGGAAUCUUGGUGGUUGUUUUCCUCUUUAGGGUUAUUUAUACGAGGAUAUAGGUAAACCUUCUUUCCUUUCUUUCCUUUACUACGGUGUGUGGUUUCGAUCGUGGCAUUUGUUGUCCCUUUUAUGGAUCAUGUGACAAAUGAUAAUGUGUUAUAGUUGUGUUUUCGGUGUCUGUAAUUAAUCAAUCACUCAAUGGUUAUUGUAUUCAAUUAUGAUGAUUAUAAAUUUGCAGUUUCUAUAUUUUGCAGUUCCCAUGAUUCCUCCUAUAAUAGUUUUAACGUUUCAAUGGUGAUUAAUGGAUUAUUUAACCAUUAAUACCUUCCUUCGGUUACUAGAAUUUGUUUGUUAAUUAAUAAAUUCAUUAAUUAGCUAUCUUUUUAGCCAUGGUGCAUUUGAGAAUAUGUAAGAGAUAGUUAGGCCAUGACUACAAAGGAGAAGCUAGCCACGAGAGAUAAUAGUUUCAAAGUAGGAAGUAUUGGGAGGAGACUUUAAGGUUUCUCAAGUACUCUGGGAGUGCUUUCAAUUUUGCCUCUAAGUUCUCACAAAUUGGCUUAACUGAAUACAGUCAUUUUUUUUCUCUGUUCUGCAGCUAUUACAUUUUCAUUUUUCUGCAUAAUUGGUUUGGUGUUUACUCUAUUUUAAGAACAACUACCAGUUGUGUUUGUAAAAUUUUGUUGUUGUUAAGAAUUGAUGCUCGCUUGCAUUGGGACACACUUUGAGAAUUAUUUUUUUCACACUUCUCCAGAGUGUUCUAAAUGGUGUUGGAUAUGUUCCCUCUAAUACAGAAAGGUAUUCCCUUGGAGGCAUUAUCUCUGCCAUUGAGAAUGCUUUUCAUGCAUCUCCUUUAAUAAUUUGCUCAAAAGAUUGUAUUGAGGAACUUCAUCUAUGCUUUUACAAGGACUUCCAGCCCCGAGAUUCUGCUGUUAGUUCUGAUGUUAAAAUUGGCAUGGUUACUUCAAAAGGAUCUUGUCCCAAAUAUGUUAGCUUGCCUUAGCCGCUUUCAGGAAUGACCAGUGGAUUAAGGAUGAAGGAGAUUCUAAAGAGAGAUGUCAUGGAAUAUGUACAGAAGGUGAAAACCUGAUGCAGUUGAUGCUUCGUAAACAACCAAGUUUCUCAGUACUACUUCGCUGUUUACGUCUAAACCAUUUGUUGGAAGGUACAAUGUUAUUGUUUUCACAUCAAAUUCAAUGGUUGAUAUGUCUCCAUUGGUGGCCAUGAAACAAACCCCAGAUUUUGAGAGUUUCGUGACUGAAGGAGUAGCAAUUUCCUCCAUCAAGGGUGGUUUGUUGGUGGCAUUAUCUGAGCUUAAAUUCACAUUUUCUGCAGUUCUGGCUUCUUUUUCUUCAGAGAAAAGUAAGUAUUCACAAGUUGCUUUAUAAAUCCUACAGGAAGGUUGGAAAUUAUAGUUCAAGGCAACCAAGUGAUAACUUUCAUGGUUCUACAGUGUAGGAAUUUCUUAAUUAAGUUUUAACCCUUAACUAUUACCAUUGUAGAUGUUCUAGAUGGCUACUAAUUAAACUGUGAAAGCUUGUAAUCGUGUCCACUAUUUACAUUAUAUUUUGCUGCUGCUGCCAGUAAUGUUUUAGUCAGUACAUUAAAAGUCAAUAUAAUGACUCCC